rnacentral:misc_RNA from 1 species
GAUGAAGAACGCAGCGAAAUGCGAUAAGUAAUGUGAAUUGCAGAAUUCAGUGAAUCAUCGAAUCUUUGAACGCACAUUGCGCCCCCUGGUAUUCCGGGGGGCAUGCCUGUCCGAGCGUCAUUACAACCCUCAAGCUCAGCUUGGUGUUGGGCCCCGCCGCCCCGGCGGGCCCUAAAGUCAGUGGCGGUGCCGUCCGGCUCCGAGCGUAGUAAUUCUUCUCGCUCUGGAGGCCCGGCCGCGUGCCCGCCAGCAACCCCCAAUUUUUUUCAGGUUGACCUCGGAUCAGGUAGGGAUACCCGCUGAACUUAAGCAUAUCAAUAAGCGGAGGA